AUUGAACGCUGGCGGCAGGCCUAACACAUGCAAGUCGAGCGGAUGAGGGUAGCUUGCUAUCUGAUUCAGCGGCGGACGGGUGAGUAAUGCCUAGGAAUCUGCCUGGUAGUGGGGGGCAACGUUUCGAAAGGAACGCUAAUACCGCAUACGUCCUACGGGAGAAAGUGGGGGAUCUUCGGACCUCACGCUAUCAGAUGAGCCUAGGUACGAUUAGCUAGUUGGUGAGGUAAAGGCUCACCAAGGCGACGAUCGUUAACUGGUCUGAGAGGAUGAUCAGUCACACUGGAACUGAGACACGGUCCAGACUCCUACGGGAGGCAGCAGUGGGGAAUAUUGGACAAUGGGCGAAAGCCUGAUCCAGCCAUGCCGCGUGUGUGAAGAAGGUCUUCGGAUUGUAAAGCACUUUAAGUUGGGAGGAAGGGCAGUAAGUUAAUACCUUGCUGUUUUGACGUUACCGACAGAAUAAGCACCGGCUAACUUCGUGCCAGCAGCCGCAGUAAAAC
rnacentral:rRNA from 1 species